rnacentral:rRNA from 1 species
CCUACGGGAGGCAGCAGUGGGGAAUUUUGGACAAUGGGCGCAAGCCUGAUCCAGCAAUGCCGCGUGUGUGAAGAAGGCCUUCGGGUUGUAAAGCACUUUUGUCCGGAAAGAAAUCCGUCUGGCUAAUACCCGGACGGGAUGACGGUACCGGAAGAAUAAGCACCGGCUAACUACGUGCCAGCAGCCGCGGUAAUACGUAGGGUGCGAGCGUUAAUCGGAAUUACUGGGCGUAAAGCGUGCGCAGGCGGCUUUGUAAGACAGAUGUGAAAUCCCCGGGCUCAACCUGGGAACUGCAUUUGUGACUGCAAGGCUAGAGUGCGUCAGAGGGAGGUGGAAUUCCGCGUGUA